GACAUGCAUCAAGAGUAGAGUUAAGUCUCUCUCCAACCUGCCACUCCGGCAAGGUGGAAAAAAAGAUGUGGUUAACCAACAAAUAAUGGAGUUAAA
rnacentral:ncRNA from 1 species